rnacentral:rRNA from 1 species
GUAAGGAAUAUUGGGCAAUGGACGCAAGUCUGACCCAGCCAUGCCGCGUGCAGGAUGACGGCCCUAUGGGUUGUAAACUGCUUUUGUACGGGAAUAAACCCAGGUACGUGUACCUGGCUGAAUGUACCGUAAGAAUAAGGAUCGGCUAACUCCGUGCCAGCAGCCGCGGUAAUACGGAGGAUCCAAGCGUUAUCCGGAUUCAUUGGGUUUAAAGGGUGCGUAGGCGGACUUAUAAGUCAGUGGUGAAAUCCUGCAGCUUAACUGCAGAACUGCCAUUGAUACUGUAAGUCUUGAGUGUGUUUGAAGUGGGCGGAAUGUGUCAUGUAGCGGUGAAAUGCUUAGAUAUGACACAGAACACCGAUUGCGUAGGCAGCUCACUAAGCCACAACUGACGCUGAGGCACGACAGCGUGGGGAUCAAACAGGAUUAGAAACCCGGGUAGUCC